GGAGAGAUGUCCGAGCGGUUGAAGGAGCACGCCUGGAAAGUGUGUGUGGGUUAACAGCUCACCGAGGGUUCGAAUCCCUCUCUCUCCGCCA
rnacentral:tRNA from 2 species